AGUGAACGCUGGCGGUAGGCCUAACACAUGCAAGUCGAACGGCAGCACAGUAAGAGCUUGCUCUUACGGGUGGCGAGUGGCGGACGGGUGAGGAAUACAUCGGAAUCUACUUUUUCGUGGGGGAUAACGUAGGGAGACUUACGCUGAUACCGCAUACGACCUACGGGUGAAAGCAGGGGAUCUUCGGACCUUGCGCGAUUGAAUGAGCCGAUGUCGGAUUAGCUAGUUGGCGGGGUAAAGGCCCACCAAGGCGACGAUCCGUAGCUGGUCUGAGAGGAUGAUCAGCCACACUGGAACUGAGACACGGUCCAGACUCCUACGGGAGGCAGCAGUGGGGAAUAUUGGACAAUGGGCGCAAGCCUGAUCCAGCCAUACCGCGUGGGUGAAGAAGGCCUUCGGGUUGUAAAGCCCUUUUGUUGGGAAAGAAAGGCAGCAGGUUAAUACCCCGCUGUUCUGACGGUACCCAAAGAAUAAGCACCGGCUAACUUCGUG
rnacentral:rRNA from 1 species